UUAGCAUCAGAGAAUGAAUAUGAGAAAAACAGAGAUGAAUUGAAGAAAAAGAAAGCUCCUGGUCCAGGCAAACUUCCAGCAACACUUUCCUCCAAAUAUCCAGAAGAUGACCCAGACUACUGUGUGUGGGUCCCACCUGAAGGCCAAAGUGGAGAUGGCAGGACCCAUCUGAAUGACAAGUAUGGCUAUUGACUGCUUCAGAAUCCUAAAGGAAGACCUUGUGGACCAUGUGACAUGGGAUAUGUAGGGUCCUAUAUCAAGUUGAAUGUCCAGAGAAGGAGUUCAGGUGAUCUUUUGUAAAAUCUGGUGACUGGCCUUUUCUUCCAUUCUCAUGGCUCCCUAAAUUUAUCUACUCAUCUGAUUCUCGUUUAAAAGUGUUUGUGUAUGUAUGUAAAAAGAAACCAUAUAUUUUGAGAAUUGGUAAAGUGAGAUAUGACUCUAUUAAAAGAGAAGGUGAAGAUGUCUCA